rnacentral:rRNA from 2 species
UACAGAGGGUGCGAGCGUUAAUCGGAAUUACUGGGCGUAAAGCGUGCGUAGACGGUUAUUUAAGUCGGAUGUGAAAGCCCCGGGCUCAACCUGGGAAUUGCAUUCGAGACUGAAUAGCUAGGGUGCGGUAGAGGGAAGCGGAAUUUCCGGUGUAGCGGUGAAAUGCGUAGAUAUCGGAAGGAACAUCAGUGGCGAAAGCGGCUUCCUGGACCAGCACCGACGUUCAGGCACGAAAGCGUGGGGAGCAAACAGG